rnacentral:rRNA from 1 species
CAGUCGCCGCGGGAACACCAAGGGUGCGAGCGUUAAUCGGAUUUACUGGGCGUAAAGCGUGCGUAGGCGGCUUCUUAAGUCGGAUGUGAAAUCCCUGAGCUUAACUUAGGAAUUGCAUUCGAUACUGGGAAGCUAGAGUAUGGGAGAGGAUGGUAGAAUUCCAGGUGUAGCGGUGAAAUGCGUAGAGAUCUGGAGGAAUACCGAUGGCGAAGGCAGCCAUCUGGCCUAAUACUGACGCUGAGGUACGAAAGCAUGGGGAGCAAACAGGAUUAGAUACCCCUGUAGUCCCUGUCUCUUAUAA